rnacentral:rRNA from 1 species
UACGUAGGGGGCUAGCGUUGUCCGGAAUCAUUGGGCGUAAAGCGCGUGUAGGCGGCCCGGUAAGUCCGCUGUGAAAGUCGGGGGCUCAACCCUCGAAUGCCGGUGGAUACUGUCGGGCUAGAGUGCGGAAGAGGCGAGUGGAAUUCCUAGUGUAGCGGUGAAAUGCGCAGAUAUCAGGAGGAACACCGGUGGCGAAGGCGGCAUCCUGGACCAACACUGACGCUGAUGAGCGAAAGCCAGGGGAGCAAACGGG